GAUGAAGAACGUAGCGAAAUGCGAUACGUAAUGUGAAUUGCAGAAUUCAGUGAAUCAUCGAAUCUUUGAACGCAUAUUGCGCUCUCUGGUAUUCCGGAGAGCAUGCUUGUUUGAGUAUCAGUAACACCUCAACUCCCUUUUCUUUUUUGAAAUGGGAGCUGGACUUGAGUGAUCCCAACACUUUUCUCACUGGAAAGUGGCGGGUCACUUGAAAUGCAGGUGCAGCUGGACUUUUCUCUGAGCUAUAAGCAUAUCUAUUUAGUCUGCCUAAAAAACAGAUUAUUACCUUUGCUGCAGCUAACAUAAAGGAGAUGAGUUCUUGUGCUGACUGAUGCAGGAUUCACAGAGACAGCUUUGCGGCUGACUUUGUAAACUCGAUCUCAAAUCAAGUAAGACUACCCGCUGAACUUAAGCAUAUCAAUAAGCGGAGGA
rnacentral:misc_RNA from 1 species